rnacentral:SRP_RNA from 1 species
GUUGACAAAAACAGCAAGUAGCCUGCCUGUGGUCCCGGCUACUCAGGAGACUGAGGUGGGGGAUGGCUUGGGCCCAGAAGUUCUGGGCUAUGGUGCGCUAGGCUGAUCAAGUAUCUGCACUGCAUUCAGCACCAGCAUGGUGACCUCCCAGGAGCAGAAGACCACCAGGCCGCCUAAGGCCUGGUGAACCACCCUAAGUCACAAAUGCAGCAGGUCAAAACUCUCGUGCUGAUCAGUGGGGGAAUCACAUGCCUGAAUAGCCACUGUACUCCAGCCUGGGCAACACAGCAAGACCCUAUCUCCU